rnacentral:lncRNA from 1 species
UAUUUUAUGAAUCUUUUUCUCUUGCAAUUUAUUCUUCUUAGAUACCUUUCUGAUAAGGUAGAUGUGGCUUCAAUAUGAUGCAUUGAAGGAACGUUCAUACACCUUCAUGAUUAUAUGUAUGCACAUUUAGCAUAAUUUUUUUCUGUCUUGAUUUUAUUUUGUUGACAACUUUGGAGUUUCAUCGAAGCCACAGUGCAAGAUAUGCAUGGUUAGAAUGAAUUGAAAGGAUUCAUGUGAGCAGCCUAUUCUAAGUCUUGCAAUUACAAAAAAAGGACCUUUUGUUACUCUGUUUAUAUAUCCUGACUCAUAUUUGUCCUCGAAUAGUCAACUAUAUGAUGCUGUUUUAUUACGUAAAAUUUCCCAAUUUGAAUCAAAAUUGUGAUAUAUCUAGCAUUCUGUCACGAAUAUUAUGUGCUUCAUUUCAAUAUGAUGGGAUUUUUUUUGCUUCUGAUGGUUAUUUUACUCAGCCUUGGAUGUCCAGAGCUUAUGAUCCCUGCACAGAGAGGUAUGCCAAGAUUUAUUACAACCACCCAGAAGUGCAAAGAGCGCUCCAUGCUAAUGUAACUGGGAUUCGCUAUCCUUGGGAUACAUGCAGGUCUGCCACAACAUCUAAUUCUUAUUCUUAGAAUAUUUUUUCAUGUGGUGCUAAAAGUAGAAAAUAUUUUCUUCCCCUACACCUGUGACAGUGAUAUUGUCGGAACUUACUGGGCAGAUUCCCCUAGAUCCAUGCUUCCCAUUUACCGAGAGUUGAUUUCAGCUGGUCUAAGAAUAUGGGUAUUCAGGUAUGGCACAUUCUAUGUUACAGAUAUGGAUUAAGUUUUGAGAUUAAGUGUUGUUUGGCUUGCUUUUAGAAUAGCUUCUCUACUCUGAAAAGUAGCAGCCAACCAUUUGGCAAAUAAAUGGCCUAGAGUUUUCGCUGCUGCAGGGAGCUGAGAUAAAUACCUAAUAAAAGGAGAUUAAAAUUAUGUACAGAAAGGCAUUCUGUUCAGUAGAUCGUUCGUCAAACUGAUAAGGCAAUCCAUUGGGUGACCAGUCUCAACCAAUAGGAUGAAUUUUAGUAGGCCAAAAAUGGGUCUGAAUCUAGUGGUGGAACUUUUUUCUUAACCAAACAAUUGAAGCAUCUAAUGGGAUGCGAAUUUAUGAUCUCAUACUAUAAAACCUGGUUUUAUAUGAAAGUAACUGAUAUUGCCUCUUAACUGCUUGUGAUACCGCAAUUCCUCACGUUGCUUCUAAGGUUUUCCUUCUUCUUUCUACAGUGGAGACACAGAUGCGGUGGUCCCUGUGACUGCAACGAGGUACUCUAUAGAUGCUCUCAAGCUUCCGACCCUCAUCAACUGGCAUCCAUGGUAUGACAAUGGAAAGGUUAGUAAAAAGAAAACAUUCUGGAUAAUAGCCAAUCAUGAACCUCUCUCUCUCUCUCUCUCUCUCUCUCAAAAUGUUCUCCCACAGCUUCUUACUAUAUUAGAAAAAUAAACUUCAAAUCGGACCUUUUGCUUUAAGGUAUUAAAGUGCAUUUGAACUUCCUAAAACCGAAGCUCCUGAGUUCAGUGUGGCUUCUGUAGGCUUCUGCUUUAUGAACAAAGAAGCUGCUCUAGAAGCCAGAAUAAGCAAGUACUAACAGUCUGUCAAGUCCUGUUGGAAUUUCUACAGAGUAGCUGUUCGAAUAGAGGCUUUGAAGCAGUAGCAGCUUUUUCAUCAAGAUCUUCUUACAAACUUAUAAUUGCAGGAGAAAUAGAAGUUUAAAUUAGAGCUUUUACUUCUAGUGCCUAAAGGCUAAUUUUCAGCUUUCUUCACAACAAAAAUUCCAAACCUGUUUUUUGUGAAACAUCUGUUUGUAGAAUUUUUUGCCUUUUGGAAUAGAGAAGGUGCUCAAAACUCGAGCGAAACAAGCAUUGAAUUUGUAAUAACCAAUUCUUUUCCCACUGAGCUAAUCAUUUUUCCUUCUCUCUCCGUUGCCGUUUGAUAGGUUGGAGGGUGGAGCCAAGUCUACAAAGGUCUGACUUUUGUAACCAUUGCUGGUGCGGGACAUGAAGUGCCGCUCCAUCGGCCUCGACAAGCAUUGAUACUGUUCAGGCAUUUCUUGCAGAAUAAACCCAUGCCGCAACGGUAACUACUCGAAAUAAGAGAACUACAAAAUGAUGAGAAGAGAGGUUCUCGAAGAACGAAGUAUGGAGAAACAAGAAUCAACAGAUUAAGCUAGGGCAAUUAUAUUCUUUGGUCACCUACAUUCUUUCCUAUUGUAGCAGCCAAUGUACUAGCAUAUCAAAUCAAGGCUGUAUUGACAUAAAUAAAGAACUGUCGCUAAAAUUUGAUUGUUUUUAGGCUGUAUCUAUGGAAUCAUAUUUGUAUUUAGUACCUAACACUAUCCUCAUCCAUUGCUCUUCCCAUUUGAUUUGUUUCGUGAGAGAUUUCAGUAAUUCUCUCAUUGAUUUCCGCUAGACUUACUGUGCGGUCUGCCGACCUGCAAACUCUUUUUUCUUUUUUCUUUUUUCCUUUUUUAAGCACUUCUUUCAACGGUCUUAGUAGUGUUGAGCUUUUCGGAGCUGAGCUGAGCCGAGCCUAUUUCAGUAUCAUCGAGAAGGACGAACAAUGUAUCGUUACAUUUGUCCGCCAUGUAUCCUUCCAUUCUUGAUCGCAUAUCAUAAAAAGAGCAACGAAACGCAACUUGUGCAUUUCAAAUCAGGUUAUAUAUUUUACACUCACUCUAUUAAAAAAUUAUUAAUUUUUUAUAUAUCACAUUAAUUUCUUUAUUUUUAUUAAAAAUUAUUUGAAUAUUUGUGAACUUAAGAUGGAGAGCGUAAAAUUUACGCUUUUUUUUUUAAGAAUGUACAAAUAAAAUUUUUCAUUAAAAAUAUUUGAUUGAGACUAUAUAUCAAUAUGCAUUUAAUUUUAUCCCAGAUUAUCUAAUAAUUUCCUUAAUUGGCAGCCUCGUCCUGUCCUUAGGAGCAUUCAAGGAGGUCGUUGAACCGCCUGUCAGAUUUUUUUUUUUUUUUUUUUUGAGAGAGAGAGAUACCGCUUCGUUUAUUUCAUUUAAAAAUUGACUUAGCUGGACUACGGUGUUUCUUUUUUUGUGUCCUAAUUAAUUCACCUCCGCACGUGUCAAGCACGUGCGUAUUUGCUCUUCCAUUUCUCACCCGGGUUACUUGCGCCAUUGGUUUAUCCGGUGAUUAUUUUGUUCUAUUUAGCUUUCACAAUUCAUAAAUUUAUAGUAUUUAAUUGGUAAUAGCUUUUUAACUCAGGUAAAAAUUAUCAUAUGAUAAGGUUUGAUGCUAACAUAAAAUUAUGGCGUAGUAUUGGUGUAAUAAAUUUCCGUUCAAGUGAUAAGCAUAAAAAAACUUAAUUUUUGUAAAACUUGAAAAUUAAGAAAUAAAUGUAAAUAAUUUCGGUAAAGGGAGGGGAAGAAACCGCGGAAUUAGCACAAAAUUCCACUAACCAGCUCCGCGACAUGGUCGGAUCGGACCGGACCUCGGACCUGUCCGAACCGAGACGAACCCGACCCGGACCGGACAAAGAGCAAUGCUCGGGUCUCGAGCUCGCUAUAAAAUGGACGGGAACGGGUAGAGGGGAAUUUUCUCUCUCCUCUUCUCUCCUCUCCUCUCCUCCCUUUCUGUGAUCCCGAUCGCUUUUCCCGUCUCUCUCUCUCUCUCUCUCUCUCUCUCCCUCUCUCUCUCUCUCUCUCUCUCUCUCUCUCUCUCUCUCAUAUUCCCCUUUCGAACAACCAUGGCGAGGGGAAGCUCCCAAUCGCAAGCCUCGGCGACGGCGGGGUCGGGGGCGCGGCCGACGAUGGCGGGGCCGCCGGGUUCGGCGGCGGAGGAGCCGGCGGGGGAAGCAACAUGCUCCGCUUCUACACCGACGACGCCCCGGGGCUCAAGAUGUCGCCCACGGUGGUGCUGGUGAUGAGCCUCUGCUUCAUCGGCUUCGUCACCGCGCUCCACGUCUUCGGCAAGAUCUACCGCUACCGCUCCGCCGCCUCCGGAGGCGGCGCCUCUUAAUCGCCGCCGCCGCCGCUGCACUGUGAGGGAUCUCUUGCUUUGGUUGAACCCUUCCUUUUUUUCUGCUGUUUCUUUUUUAAUCUUUUGUGCUAAAAGUAAGAUCGAUUUGCUUCUGUUUUGCUUCUGAUUAUGUUAGGGUUUGAUCGUUUCCGAGCUGAUAUCAGAUCCUGUGUUCGAGGAUUUGUUUCAAUAUGUAGUGUUUAAUUUGCUUCUGGUAUUAUUUUCUGGUAAUUUUACUAGUUUGCUUAUAGAUUGCUGCGCUAUAAUUUUAGUAAGUUUGAUUGGUUGCAACAUCUGGAUCGGAUUAUUUAUGGUAAUUAGUGCUGCUGAUACUGUCAUAAUGAUGUACUUCUCUUUAAUUGCGUGCAUAUCUAAGUCCCGAUUAAAUAAAUGGAUUAGCUCGGGUGUAUUACCAUAAAUGAUCUUAUUGAUCGUUUACUACCUCCAAUAACUUUCUAAAUUUGUUACUAUUUUUAGUAUUUUGUUUGUGCAAAUGCUGUUAAUAGAUAGGUGGCUAAUCUUGUAAGUUUAUGGGUAAUUCUAAAAAUCUAACAAGUGCAUUUAGUAUACUUCUUAAUUAAUAUUUAAUAGGAGGCAGUACCAAUUUGCAAGAUGGUACAAAUUUGGUGUUGCCGCGUUCAAUGAUUGGUGAAAAUAAUUUACGUUGGAUAAAAUGGAUCACUUCAUAGUAAGUGAAACAAUAAUUUGUUUAAUUUUGCCUCAUAAACUGUAACCAACUACUAGUUAAGAUACCUUACUCAUAAACUGUAACCAACUACUAGUUAAGAUACCUUAACCCCCUAUUAAAUGUUUCUUAACAAGUGUUGCUCUUGGUAUAAAAGCAUUUGGGUAGCGAGACUAUGUAAUGAAUCAGUGAAAAGAUUUGGUUUUCAUAAUAAGCCUCUCUUUCUUUCUGUUGCUAGCAACUAUAUAUGUUUAAAGGCUUGAUUUUAAGUGGAGUAGAGAGCUUGAUAACUAUGAUUCUGGUUGGAGGUAUGAGGCAAGAGACUAGUAAGAUUCACAUGCACCAUAUUGUACCCAAAUGGGGGAUUAUCGGACUUGAAUCAAAGAGUUCUGCGCAAUUUGUAAGCCUUUGAGCCAGUCAUUAAGUAGAGGAUCCUCACCUAUAACAAAUUACCAAAGUGAGAUUUUUGACGUACCUUAUGCUCUGAGAAUGUAGGAAGGAUUGGAUACUUACCUUUCCUUUGCAUUAGCAUUAUAGCUCAUUUAAAUCUUCUGUAUAAUUUGAUCUGGAUUUUUAGGCUCAUUUGUUCCGUUUUUUAAGUAGCAGCAACAUUGUGGAUUCCUUAACAAAUUGAGAACACUUAUUGGUAUUCAUUUGAACAUGUAUGUUUAUUUUGCUGUAUAACGGAGAAAGUGAAGUUUCAAGUAUUAGGCAACUAAGCUGAAAGGUUUCAUGAUUAAUAACACUUGAUACCUACGCUAAGACAAACUGAACGUCAAUUUUUAAGUGCAAUAGGUACUAUUCUUCCUUUUCAGGUUUUUUUAUAUGCUUCUCUUGAACUGGGCCUCAAAAUCCAUAUUGAAGAUCCUGCUGCUUCAUUUACAAAAAAGUAACAUUUUCAUGUUAAAUUCAUUUUGGAAAGAACAUGCGCCUCUUUUGGUCGUGUCUUGUGGAUUUGUGUGCUCCUGUUUCCCAUUCUAGUAAAAUUAUGAACACAUUACACGAAGUAUUCUUUUGCAAGGCUUUUAGGAUGCCAAACAUAUAAGAUUGAAUGAACUUUAUUUAACCAAAGAAGUGCUACAGAGUAGCUUUCAUAAUUUGUAUGGUUUCACGAUUAUGAUUUUAGUUUAUGGUUUGUCUUGGACCUCCAGCCACCUUACAUUUAAAGUAGUAACUAACGACUAUACUAAACAGCUUACUAGUUCGUUUUGUAAUUGGUUGUUCAUCUAAUAUAUAUUUAGUCAAUAGAAGAAUGAUUGCAGGGUAUGAUAGAAAAAUCAAGAUUGUGCGCUUAUGUGUUGGUUUUAUCUCAUUUUAAUUGCAAACAGUUCUGUUUUCUCUCAAGAUUGAAUGUUUGGUUUCUCAUCACUUGUGGAAUUCUCUCGGUGCGGUAGAACUGCUUAUAUGUUUUUUCCCUUGCUUUUUUUUUUUUUUUUUUUUUUUGUGUGUGCUUAAACGUAUCUAUAAGCCUGAUUGGAUCUGAAACCCACUGAUGUGAAACCGGUCACUCAUAAUUAACAUCCGAGCUUUCACUUUCAGAGGACAAAUAAUGGCAAAUAUCGUACAUAUAUUAGUCUUAUAAUUGUGAACCCUAGAUAAAGGAAGGGCUAAAAAUGUUCAGGUAGUGCCUGAACUUUCAACUAAAAAUAAAACCCCUCCCUGCCAAAUGUCAAUAUAUGCUAUGGGCUCUGCAUUCUUCAUAAUUAUACGUCGUAUCCUCAACUAUUAGGUUGUUCUGAAAUGGCCCUUGAAUUUUUCUGAUUGGCAAUACCUUCUGAAUUUUUUCUGAUUGGUCCCUACCAGAAUAACUCAAGUUGAAAAAUAAAAUAAAAUAAAAUCGAGGGACCUAUUUCAAAAUUGUUUUUAGUAGAGAGGCUUUCAAGUCAUUUUACCGAGUAUCCGAUCGCCAAAAGAAGAGCCUUCUCAAAUACCGAGUGAUCAAUCGCGUUGAAAACCGUAUACUGUUUUUUUUUAAGGUUAGAACCGAAAGGGGCCCAAAAAAGUCUUAUCACUAAAAAUGCUAGCGUCCGAGAGAGCCCACUACGAACUUUCUCGGCCGGAAAAAAAAAUGCGCCCCAUUAUAUAACUUAUGGGCCCUACUGUAGAUGAAAGGUGUUAAUGGGCUUAAUGUAGGCCCAUUUAAAUGAAACAUCCUCGUGGCUACAUUCGGCCCAAGCUAUCUUGGAGCGGGCUUUGUCUCACUCCUGCACGUCUAGUUUUGGAAACUCUCGGGCUUUACCUUAAAAAUAAAAACUUUUCAGUUUUCACUUUUCCUUUGGAAUAUUGUAUGUACUAGUAAUUACCAAUUAGCGGUGCCUAUUCUCUUUCCAAAGCGUGUUUCUUUCUUUCUUUUUUUCUGAAAAAAUGAACGUUUAUUUGUCGUAGAAAAAUAUUUGAUUCGAAUAAAAAAUCAUAGCAUUACUCUGUUAAUAAUAUUACCCUAAUAUUUGAUUCAAUUUAAAAUCAUGAUCUUUAUAUGACGUGAAAAAAUUGUCUUCAUUAACAGCAACUCCCUUAACAACCCUUGUACCCACCCUAGUCAGAUAACGCUAAUGCUUCAUUGACUCUUAUUUCACAAUGAUCUAUGCUUUAGGCAUUAAUCAUGUUACUUCACCACAAUGAACAACUGCAAAGAUAAAACCUCCAUUUCAAAGUCCUACCACCAUUUAUUCAGUCUCAGAACAUACACAUUUUGUCCGAGCAAGAACAAUAUAUAUAUAUAUACUCCAACAGCUAAAUAAUAAAUAGUAGCUAUCAGUGUAUGAAGAUCACGAUGAUGAAAUCAGCAGUCUGAGACAGACCAACACAACAAAAUUAAAAAAGCAUCUUAACGACACAGCCAAAUGAAUAAUCAUGUUAGGAUUCAAAAAAAAUUCACCAUAAUAUUCCAUUUCAAACUGCUGAGAAGCCGAAACGCUCGCAAUUUUAGAAUACACCAUAAUCAGGGCCAAGAAAAGCUUGCAGUAAAUGAUCAAUUGAAAUCAUUAAAAUUUUCUUUAAGUAGUAAUGAUUUUUCCUCUGGAUCAAAAAUAGUAACAACCUUCAAGAAUAGCCCUCAUCUCUCCUCAACGAACAAUCAAGAACCAUGGAAGCCGAGGAAGCCAUGAUUAAUCCAUCAAUCAAUCAUAUGCAAAUGUACAGAUCCUGUUCUUAAAGCUAAUAAAGGCGAGGGAUAUAUUAUAAAAAUUGCCCGAGAACUUCACAACUUGUCUCAAUUAUAUCCCCACAGUUCGACUGUGAUGUCAACUUUUGCAUCAAACAAGCUCAGUUGUUUAAGAUGACUGCUGAAUACAAAUAGAAAAUGCAACAAAAAUGCAUUGGAAGAUGCAUGGCUUGUAUAAAUAAUACAAGCCAUCUAUUUACCGAAACAAAAUUCUCCACUGAUCAACAAGAUAUACUGAUUUUGAACAUAUGUGAAGAUGAAGUGUCUUCAAGUGUCAAGAGAUUGAACAUGGAAUAGUGCUGAUGGGCUCAGCGACUCGAAGAAUAAGUACGGUUGCCAUACAUUAUAAAUCGACAAAUCGACAAAAUAAAUCUAUGUUGCAGAACUAUUUCAGAAUCUUGAAGAGCAGAAGAUUAUUUCUCAUGUCAAAGAGCAACUUAUCAGAGAUAUCCGCCACAUUAACCUGUUUCUAUGUAGAUCAACAAAAUUUCAUGACUCCUACAUACAAGUAGUCAAUAUCAUGCUGCAAAUAAGCUCAAGAAAAUGGCAAAAUAGAGUGCACAUUAGGAAAAUUCAAAACAUGCCAAUUUAUCUGUGCAUCACAGGCCAUAUACAUCUUCUCAAGUUUAAUGUUGUUUGACUACUUUUCAAUAUUUUCUUUUACCCAAUAAGCCUUGAUAAUAAAAUGACUCAUCAUUAGACAACCUUAAACCUUGUCUCAAAAAGUAUAGGAGGUGAAAAGGUACUUAGGACUAUGAUUAUUGAUCUAAAAGCAAUUACUAAAUGCUGAAAAUUGAGUACCCGAACAGCUAGUGCGAAAAUUAAGACGGGCUAAACAAAAUCAUUCAAACCCUUUACUAUGAGCAAAACAGUGGGUCAAAAAUAGCAACCAUGACAUGCGCAAAGAAUUUAAUUUACUUCUCGUUUUAUGAUAUGGACACAACUUAAGAACAUACACUCCAGACGAAGCAGAGUAACUUUUAUACAACCGAAGUAAUUACAAGUAACAUUGAAGCUUUAGAAACUUACCAUCUUCUGUUCUUUUUCUUCUCACUUUUCACAGCCACAUACCAAUUCUACAACAAGAAACUCCGCAGAAAAAAAAAACACCAACAAUCCAUUAACAUAUUUUCAUUGCGUGGAAAGGAAAUUACCUGAAUCAUCAGACAAAGGUUGCAACGCGCUGAUCUUUAUAUUGUACUUCCGUCGGUCUGAUACACCAAUCUCGGAGCUUGAAUCUGGACCAUCAGAUCCAUUAGAGGGGAAAACCUCAUCGUAGGCACUGCCGAUAUAGUUCCCACACUUGCGGCAGAGCAAUUUGGUCCUCUUCCUGAGAAAUCCCCAUGAAUUCUUAGAAUUGAAGUAAGGCAAACAGCUAAACUCAUCGCUUUGAGUGAACCGACUCUCAUCGACCGCGAAGAAGGAGACGAUCCCCUUCUUGAUCGCCUUCCCGUACUUCGAGCCGAUGUUCGAGGUAUUCCUAUUAGAAGAGCUCAGAUUCAAAGCAUAACCGCAAUAUCCGCAGCUGCGAUAAUGAACCCCAAUUCAUCAAAUCGACCACAUGGAAUCAAACAAACAUGUGUACAUAAUUCAACUUAAUAACUCCCAAAUUUAGAAUCCAAUUAGGGUUUCUUCCAGUAUUAACUUCAUUAAUUCCGAAUGCUACAAGCAUCAGAUUAAAUGGAAAUCCCGAAAUUCUUCAUCAAAACCAGUUAAAACAGCUAUUAAAUUAGGGCUUUGGGUCUCUAAGAUGAAUCCACUGCUCCGAUAAAGAUAACAUCAUCACGGAUCCAUGCCAUGAUAAAAAUAGUCGAUCAUUCGACGAACGAAGCGAGAGAACGAGAGGAACCUGUAGGUGACGUCCUUGGUGGAGGAGAAGCUAUCGAGUGUCUUCGCCGCACCCUUUCUAGAACCUUCUUGGAUAACCAUGGAGACUCCAGAACCCUCGAGAAGAGUGCGAUCGAUCGAGCGAGCGAGCGAGCGAGAGAUCGAAGGCGAUCUUGGCGAUGCGUGGGGUUAGGGUUUGGAGAGAAGAUGAGGAUGAGGAGGACGAAGCCGUGUCGAAGAGGAACGAGGGAGACGAGCGAGAGAGAGAGAGAGAGAGAGAGAAAGCGAAAAGCGCUUCUGCGACGUAGGUUUCCACGGCCUUUCCACGUCGGUGCUCCGUGUUGAAUAAAUAAUGCGGAUGUCGAAUCGCCAAACAGUGGGGUGGGUCACUAGUAGUCACUACUUCCUCUUUCCCUUUGGUUCUAUGCGAGUGUGACUUCAUGAUCGCGAGAUUUUUCUCCUUUUUUUUCUUUUUUUUUUUUAAGAAAAAUUUCAAAUACUCCUCACAUGAUUUUAUUCUUUCUCACUUUAGUAUCACUUUAGUACACUAUAGUUUAAAAUAUAUCAUGUUAGUACUAUAUAGUUUUGCAUUUUCUCACUCUAAUAUUAUAUAAUUUCGCACUUUCUGACUUUAAUACCUCUGUAGUUUAAAAAUCAUAAGGUAUUAACUUGAUACAAAAAUAAAAUUACAGGAUACUAAGUUGAUACAAAAAUAAAAACACACAGUACUAACUUAAUACACUUUAAACUAUACGGUACUAAAGUGAGAAAAUGCGAAAUUAUAGGGUACUAAUUUAAUACACUUUAAACUAUAGGGUACUAAAAUAUAAAAGUGUGAAAUAAGGGAGCGUUUUUGAAGUUUUCUUGUGUGUNACGUCUCUACUCUCUGGUGGGUGUGAGUGUGGUGUGUGUGUGUGUGUGUGUGUGUGUGUGUUUUGUUGGAGUUAAAUGCACCUCAGCUAGUGAAGCUUUGCCUAUUUAUACAGAUUUAUGUAAAUAUAAUAAAUAAUAAAUAUAUUUUUAUAAAUUAAAUUUUUAUAUAUUAUUUUUAUAAAAAUUCUGUGUUUCUCUAAUUUGUUAGAGUUAGAGAACUAUUUAUUUUUUUAACUUUACCAUCAUAAAUAUAUUCUUUUAAUAACAGUAAAAUAUAAUAUAAGAGGGGUAAAAAAAUUAAAAAUUAAUUAAGAUUAAGUAUUUAACCUAUGAUUAACUAAAUUUUUCUAAUGGAUUCUAAUGGCAAAGAAAUAUUUGAAAAUAUCAGGACUUUUGUAGGGACAAUAUAUGAACGUUGAACUUUGUUGAGGUAUAUUUGCUAUUCACUAUAUUUGUAGGGAUCUGUAUAAAAUUAACCCUUAUAUUUAGUUAUCUAUUUUUUUUUAAAAAAUAUAUUUUAAAAAUUUUAAUUUUAAAUUAUAUAAUAUGACUAAUAUUACAUGAUCAAAAAAUAAUAAAAAAUACAUACCGGAAACAUAAACAAAAUAUUUUUGAUGCCAAAAUUCGGUGUUAUGUCAAAAAUGUUAACUUUUAGUGUUUAAUUUUUACUCUGUAAAUAUGAUAAUUAUUGUUAGUGUGUAAUUUGGAUAGUAAUAGUUUAUAUUUUGAAAGUUCAGGAGAUCAAAUCUGGAUUAUUUUAAUGCAUUUAAUAAUUUAUCUAAUAAAGUUUAUCUUUGCUCAUCAGCAAAAAUGCACUGAGACCAUUAGAUUUAAAUGAUUAUUUCGUUGCAAAAUAAACACAAAAAAUAUACUCAGCAUGUUUGUUUUUUUGUUUUUUUAAUAACAAGUAUGAACUAAUGCACACUUAUUAAAAUAUUCAUCUUUAAAUGUUCAUGGAAAUUAAGGAUGUUUCUCUUUUACUGGUAAAUUAUAACAUUUGGCAACUCGACUAUUUGCAUAUUUUUUUCGAGACUUUAAUUUCUUACAAUUUACAGGACUCUAAAUUUUUCUUUUGUUGAUCAUUUCUCAAUACUAUACCAUUUUUGAAAAAUGGUAACAAGUUAAUAAAUUAUCUAAUUCAUUUAUCAUGUCAUAUAAAUAUAUUUAACAAUUGUACUCAAUUUGGCCCUCGGAUCAAAUUUUGUCAUGAAAAUAAUCUCGCAUAUAUUUUUUGCCUGCAUAUUUACUAUUUUUCACCAAUCCUUCUCAAAUUCAUGGCCUCAAAUAUAUAAGUAAUAAUUUAAUAUAGUCAAUUACAACAAUUUGAAAUUUUAGAUUAUUCUAAAAUUUAGAUGGUUUAUAGAGUCGAGCUAUGAUCAUUUGAGAUUAUGAAUAGUAUACUAUACACUUUUUAACUUUUAAAGAAAUUACUAUAGACAAUAUUCAUAUCCUUUAAAAAAAAACGUAAUUGAACUAUACACAUAUCCUUAUAAAAGAAUAGUAACUAAAUUAUAUACAUAUCUUUAUAAAAAAUAGUAACUGAAUUAUAUAUAAAGUAUUGAUCCUCAAAAUGGCUCAUGCAUGAGCUACACGUGUGGGCACACGUGUUGGCGUUCGAACCUUGAUUGAUGAUAACAAUGAUCACAUUAAAAAAAUUUGGUAGGUACAAAGCACUUCUCUGAUUCUCAGGUUGUAACACGUCAAACUCAUCCUUGACAAAAUAUAAAACAUGUACUAAUUGCAAUAAUUAUUAGAAGUAAUAUAUGAAAUGUUUUUUUUUUUUUAGAGAAAUAGAUAGCGAGCUAUUCGUUUAAUUCAUUAGAAAAAUGAACUAGGCUUAUAUAAUGAAAGCAGUCAGGACUUUCGAAGAAAGAAAGAGCAAAACAAGUAACAAAAAGCUAAUGCGGGGGAUGAGAAAGGCAGAAAAAAAACAUGGAAAAACAAGGAAAGAAAGAACGAAACAAGGAGAAGAAAAGAAAACAAAAAAGAAAGAAAGAAAAAAAAAAAAACCGGAUCAACGAAUUGCAUUCCAGGUGUCCACCAAACACUUAACACGUAUGCUCCAAACACCAGGAGGGGUUGGGGGCAAUCUCGCGAAAGAUAAUGCCGUUCCUCUCCGUCCAAACAACCCACCAGAUAGUGGAAAGAAGAGCCAGGAAAGUAAGUCUCUUGUUGUUGUCCGGUAUAACGAUCAGUCUUGACCAGAGAUCUCUCACAUCCUCCGAGGGUUCAGACAGAACCUCCAACUCGUCGACGCUGAUCAGAAUGAAGCGAACGAAGAUACAGGAGCUCAAGAGGUGAUCACAACUCUCUACAUUGACGGCACAGAAGAUGCAAAAUUGAGACGCUAACCACUCUCUUGCGUGAAGCCUUUUUGUGGUGGGGAUUCUGUAAUUGAAAGAAAUAGAAAUGAACUCAUCCUCCGAGGGCUCAGAAAGAAAUGAACUCAUGUACUAAUUGAAAGAAAUGAACUCAUGCAAAAUUGAGACGCUAAACACGAUAUAUGAAAUGUGUUUUAACACAUUUUGCCACGUUUUUCUUUUUUGAUACUUUAGAAACUCUUUCGUUCUAUUUAAGGAAUACUUGUGUUUUUUUUAGACCCAUGCAUGAGUUCAUUUCAGAAGCUCGAAAAUAAAUAAUUACUAAUUUGCAGUGCCUACAAUUAAGUAAACUGAAUGUUUUAAAAAAUGCUGAUGAUUUUAAUAGAUUUAAAUUUAAAUUGCACAGAUAAUAGAAUUUUUUUUAGAUACAUGGCCUGUUUAUAAUACGAGCAUCUUUCUAAGCUAAAGAGAUUAGUUGAUUCUUGAUUUCUUUUCUUUUUUUCGUUUUUGUUUUAGCUUAAUUAUAAAGCCUCCCACUAUUUUGUUUCCCAUCUCAAAUAUCGCUCUACAUAAUAUAUAUAUAUAUAUAUAUAUAUAUAUAUAUAUAUAUAUAUAUAUAUAUAUAAAAGUUGGGCUACUAUACUCUUAUGAGUAGUGGGCCCUUAGUACUCAUAAGUUGUUUUCGAUGAUGGAGUUUCCGAAUCGACGAUCCACUCCGUUAAAUAUGAUNNNNNNNNNNNNNNNAUAUAUAUAUAUGCACAACGCUUCAGUCUCGUAUCAAAUAGAUUUAAUAAUUUGAAAAUUAUGAUAACUUCUCAUGAAAAUGGUAACAGGCGAUGAUGUGGUAGGAUGAUUUGACAUGAAAUACUUAAAUCGUCGCGUGCAUGCGUGGAUGCUUUUUUAUGAUUCCUUUUCAAUUCUAAUAAGUAGAAAGUAUGCUUAAAUGGAUUCGGAGGAGGUGUAUUAUUUAAGCGGAAAAUAGUUAGGAUUAACUAGAAAUUCUAACAGCGGGACAUAUUUAAAAUAGAUUGCAGUAUUAAUAUUGUUUAAAUUUUUUAUAUAUGAGAAUAUUUGAGACGCGAGACAAAGUGCAAGAAGAAUUUUAUAAUUUGUCUUUUUUUAAUCUUUUAUUUUUCAAAGAAAAGAUAUACAAUUUGUUUAGAAAAAAUACGAUCUCUGCACGUUGGGUCCUUUGUUGGUUGAACAGGUUUGUGAAUGCAACCCGCACUAACUUAUAAUAAUAAUGAAAAACUUAAAAAAUAAAAGUAAAGGUAAACACGUAUUAAUUAUACGAUUAGCAUAUGAAAAGCAGAAUCUCGCGGAAAGAAUAUAUUCCGAAAAAAGAACCCAAUUAGAUUGGUAAUUGAAUACAUCAAAAGAAGCUGAAACAAGGAGCCCUUUUUAAUCAACAGAUUAUUGAAUUGGAUCAUUAUUUUUUACUUUUGUUUCUCCCAAAUUAGGCCAACAAUUCAAUUUUGUAGAGGCUUCUAGUACAUGCUCUCCUGAAUCUACAUUGUUUUAUUAUGGUUUAGGAAAAAAAAACAAAGUAAUAUUGGUGUCAUUUUUAAAGUUUUAUACUUUCGAGGUAAAUUAAGGCUAUUGCUUUGUAAAUUGUAAUUACUAUUUAUGGGAGGAAAAAAUAUUGAUAUUAAAACUUUUUGAUUAAUAGGUUAUAGUCUAGAAUUUAAUAGCUUCAUGCAAAUAUAACAAAAGGGCAAUAAGGUUGUUCCCAAAUUCUCACUUUAUGAACUCAAGUUAGUAAAUUUAUUUUUUUUAAGAGAUAGGUAGCACACUAUCUUCUUCGUUUAUUUCAUUUAGAAAUAAACUUAGCUGGAAAUGUGAAUCAAUUAGGAUUCGAACUCGGGUCUCAGGUAUCAACCACCAAGCCCUUUGCCACUUGCUCUAGAAACGGUCGGUAAGUUAGUGAAUUUAUUAUAAUUAUAAAAACUAUACUAAACGAUGCUAUAG